CCUACGGGCGGCAGCAGUGGGGAAUAUUGCUCAAUGGGGGAAACCCUGAUGCAGCGACGCCGCGUGAGUGAUGAAGGUUUUCGUUUUGUAAACUCCUUUCAGUAGGGAAGAUAAUGACGGUAUCUGACUAAUAAGCCCCGGCUAACUCCGUGCCAGCAGCCGCGGUAAUACGUAGGGGGCAAGCGUUAUCCGGAUUUACUGGGUGUAAAGAGAGCGUAGGCGGCAGAGCAAGUCAGGAGUGAAAUCCGAUGGCUUAACCCUAGGACUGCAUUUGAAACUGUACUGCUAGAGUGUGGGAGAGGUAGGUGGAAUUCCUAGUGUAGGGGUAAAAUGCGUAGAGAUUAAGAAGAACACUAGUGGCGAAGGCGACUUGCUGGAAUAUAACUGACGUUGAGGCGCGAAAGCGUGGGGAGCAAACAGGAUUAGAUACCCCAGUAGUC
rnacentral:rRNA from 1 species